rnacentral:rRNA from 1 species
AGUGAACGCUGGCGGUAGGCCUAACACAUGCAAGUCGAACGGCAGCACAGUAAGAGCUUGCUCUUACGGGUGGCGAGUGGCGGACGGGUGAGGAAUACAUCGGAAUCUACUUUUUCGUGGGGGAUAACGUAGGGAAACUUACGCUAAUACCGCAUACGACCUACGGGUGAAAGCAGGGGAUCUUCGGACCUUGCGCGAUUGAAUGAGCCGAUGUCGGAUUAGCUAGUUGGCGGGGUAAAGGCCCACCAAGGCGACGAUCCGUAGCUGGUCUGAGAGGAUGAUCAGCCACACGGGAACUGAGACACGGUCCAGACUCCUACGGGAGGCAGCAGUGGGGAAUAUUGGACAAUGGGCGCAAGCCUGAUCCAGCCAUGCCGCGUGGGUGAAGAAGGCCUUCGGGUUGUAAAGCCCUUUUGUUGGGAAAGAAAAGCAGCAGGUUAAUACCCCGCUGUUCUGACGGUACCCAAAGAAUAAGCACCGGCUAACUUCGU